rnacentral:sRNA from 1 species
AAGCAAGGAACGGCGGCUAAUCGAUCAGGCGUCAUGCUGAACGCCGCCGUUGUUACAUCCUGUGAA